CUGGGGCCACACCAAGAGGUCGGGGAGGGGAGAGAAGAAAGGUCUCCAUUUCUCCUCCCUGCAGACAGACCAGACAGACAGCAGUGCCACCGAGUGUUAUCAUCAGAGCUGGUUGCAUAAAGGUUCUGCUGUGACCCUGACACCAGCUGCAUGUCAGCCCUGUGUCCCCACACACCCUCCCAUCCUCUGCUCUUCAGGACAUGUCUUCUCAUUGCCACCACCUUCCUUCUCCUUUCAGAUGUCCCUGUCCUGCCCGGAGGUUACCCAGCAGAUGGCUAUGAUGAUGCUGGGGAGGUUUCUGACCCUGGGGAGGAUCCGGUCCCUGGGCAGGGGGACUGGGAAGUGCCCAGGACACCAGAGGAAGGAGAUGGGCUGAGGCAUGCAGCCACAGGGGGAAGCCUGCACUCCCGGAGAAGUGCUGGGGUCCCUGGGGCUGAUGGACACACCUCGUCACCUUUCCUGGGGACCACAGACUAUGACGAUGCUGAAGAGGUGUCUCUGGCAUGUCCCCACAAGGACACCGAGGGUGUCACACCAGAGCCCCGUGCACAAGAGUUCCAGAGCCCCAGGCCAGCAGAGCCCAGCCCUGCUGAGCAGCUGGGUGCAGCCGGGAGGGAGGAGAGCUCAGUGCCACUGGGAGAGCUGUGAGCAUCAGGGAAUGGUCUCCCUUUUCCAGCAGUCAGCAGACACACAUGGGUAUUUCCCCUCUUGGUAUUCCCCUGUUUUUAUGCUGUGUGUUGGUAUUUCCUCAUAUUAAAACCCUCUGGGCGCUUUGCCCCAGAUCCAGUGCUUCCCUGCCCAGGUGUCAUGGUGUCUCCCUGAGGCGGAUGGAGGGGAGAAGAGCUCAAAUAUUCAGCGGUUUGGAAGGAGCUCAUCUUAGAGCCAGCAGGAUCGGGGUCUGGCUUUGGGGCUGACAGAGCCCCUGGUCCCUGGACACUAUUCCUACUGACAGAGACAUUUCCAUCCUGCCAGCCACAGGCAGUUUCCAGACAAAGUGGAUCUCUGGGAAGCUCCAAGAGACACUCCCUUGCAGUGCCCACCCUCUGCUGCCUUGGGCCCCCA
rnacentral:lncRNA from 1 species